AUGUAAUACUUCCGUAGGGUAACCUGCGGAGGGAUCAUUACAAGUGACCCCGGUCUAACCACCGGGAUGUUCAUAACCCUUUGUUGUCCGACUCUGUUGCCUCCGGGGCGACCCUGCCUUCGGGCGGGGGCUCCGGGUGGACACUUCAAACUCUUGCGUAACUUUGCAGUCUGAGUAAACUUAAUUAAUAAAUUAAAACUUUUAACAACGGAUCUCUUGGUUCUGGCAUCGAUGAAGAACGCAGCGAAAUGCGAUAAGUAAUGUGAAUUGCAGAAUUCAGUGAAUCAUCGAAUCUUUGAACGCACAUUGCGCCCCCUGGUAUUCCGGGGGGCAUGCCUGUUCGAGCGUCAUUUCACCACUCAAGCCUCGCUUGGUAUUGGGCAACGCGGUCCGCCGCGUGCCUCAAAUCGACCGGCUGGGUCUUCUGUCCCCUAAGCGUUGUGGAAACUAUUCGCUAAAGGGUGUUCGGGAGGCUACGCCGUAAAACAACCCCAUUUCUAAGGUUGACCUCGGAUCAGGUAGGGAUACCCGCUGAACUUAAGCAUAUCAAUAAGCGGAGGAA
rnacentral:rRNA from 1 species